AACGCGAAGAACCUUACCUGGGCUUGAAAUGCAAUCGACGGUAGUGGAAACAUUACUUCCAGCAAUGGCGAUUGUGUAGGUGCUGCAUGGUUGUCGUCAGCUCGUGCCGUGAGGUGUCGGCUUAAGUGCCAUAACGAGCGCAACCCUUAUCAUUAGUUGCCAUCGGGUCAUGCCGGGAACUCUAAUGAGACUGCCACCGUAAGGUGUGAGGAAGGUGGGGAUGACGUCAAAUCAGCACGGCCCUUACGUCCGGGGCGACACACGUGUUACAAUGGGGGGUACAGCGGGCAGCUACCUGGCGACAGGAUGCUAAUCUCUGAAAGCCUCUCUCAGUUCGGAUCGGAGUCUGCAACUCGACUCCGUGAAGCUGGAUUCGCUAGUAAUCGCGCAUCAGCCAUGGCGCGGUGAAUACGUUCCCGGGUCUUGUACACACCG
rnacentral:rRNA from 1 species